rnacentral:tRNA from 1 species
GAUAAAAUGGCUGAGGUUUAGGCUAUAAAUUGUAAAUUUAUAUAGGAAUUUAAAUUCUUUUAUCA